GGAGAAUUCUUGGAACUGCAAGACUGGUUCUCUCUUUUAAGUGUCUGGCACACAACUCACUUUAGCUCUCUGAAUUAAUUUUUAAAUCUGUAUAAUCUAUCACAAUAAUUGUUAAAAGGCUUUUAGAUAGCAAGUAUUAAUUCAGUAUGUUCCACCUGCACAUUACCACCAACAGUCUGUCCACUGUCUUACUACCUUGCACUGCACUCAGAAGAGUAUUUUUUACCCAGACCACAGUUAGCACACAUCACGAUCAUCAUUCUAGUCGGGAGGUUUUUCAUGCCAUGGUUAAGUAACCAUACUUGAGGUUAAGGUUGUUGAGGUUUUAUUAAAUUUCACUUUGUUUUGUUUACCUGGCAUCAACAUUAAGUUUCCUAUAUCUGUGAUGGUUUUUAAAUACCACUAGAGAUUUCCAGAUCAUUAUACUGGAUAAUUUUACUAAUUUAGCUAGAGUGCUGUGCAGUUUGCAUGUUUUUGUUGCAGUUUACUACAACCAUUGCUACAACAGUAGUCAACAUGUAUUUUAAUUCUACUGUUUAAGGGACAUCACAUAAGCAAAACUAACUAACAUUUCCUUUACAGUAAUAAGUGAACUUUAUCUCAAAUAAAGAAAAAAAUAUUAAACACACAUUUAAAGGGUAAAUCUGCUCCAAGAAAUUAUGCAGAAACCAUUAUUAUUAAUAAUUUAAAUCAAAAAAUAGUAUUUAAUUAUUUCUGACAGGGAAACAGCAAGAAACUUAUGCCAAACUGGUUUUCUUCCACACGACCGCUUCAUAAUAGACUACUAAUAUUUACAAAUUCUCCUGUCAUAAAAAGGGCAUGUGAGCACUGAUUUAAUUGCUGAGAGACAGUAUGUUCACAUAUGCUCUGACCAAAACUGAGCUGUUUUUCAACAGGAGACUGUCACAUGAGUUUUCUGUAGCAUACACACACACAUACACAAAAUGCCAAAGUCUACUCUUCUUAAUAUGAGGCCAGUGGAAAGUUGUAAGAUUAUUUGUACUUUGCCCUGCAACUUUCACUAAUCAAAAGAAAUCAUGUUUUUAAGGCACUUACUUCUCUUUACAGCACUACUUGAGAGUAUAUGUAUAGAACCAGACUAGAAAAGCAGAUUAAUUUUAUUUUACAAGCAUGUUAUAUUCUUGCAAAUAUCAAAACUCUCCCUGCAUAAAUGAAUCUCAGCAAGUCUAUGCAAAAAGACACAGAUUGCCAAGAAAUCUUCAGAAAGGGUCACUCUGCGUGGAGAUGUACAAAGUCAUUGCUCAUCUGCUGCAUCCAGAGCUGCUCAGCAGAUGUCUAGCAGGAGGCACUAGGAGGCUUUUCUUCAGCUGUAGGAAGCACAUGCAGAGAGCACCUGCAACUGAUAAAAAGUCAAAAAGACUUUUUAGACCUAGCCACACUAGUUCUUCCUAGCAACAUGUAUCUGCUCAUUCCAAAUGUGUCCCUCCCUCUUGCUAUCCUUUGUGCAGUUUCCUUCCUUCUGUCUCGUACCCCACCCUUUCUCCACUGCCCCUCAGUCAUUGGCACAGCAGAUCACUUACACACCUGGAUGCUCUGACCUCAGCAGCAGUAUCUGGCUAUUUCCAGCAUCCAGGGGAACCAAGGAAGUAAUGGAUGUUGUCCAGUCUUAGCAGCAGCUGUUCCUUGCCUCAGUGACAGCAAAGGGUGGAAACUUGUGGAAAAACCUGCCUCAGGGUUUCCAACUGAUGGUCUCAUUUUCAAUGCUGAUAAGCUUCCUGAAUUCUAUGAGCCUGGACUAAAAUUUCCUGUGCCAGAAAUGUGCCUUGGAACACAAGGAAGAACUUCUUUUCUGGGUGAAGGAAUGCACACUGGAACAGACUGCCCGAAGAGGUUGAGAAUUUUCCUCACUGAAGAUAUUCAAGAACUGUGAGGCUACAACCCUGUGUGCCAUGUGUUCUGGGAUGACCCUGCUUGAGCAGGGAGGUUGAACCUGAUGACCCACUGUGGUCCUUCCCACCUCACCCAUUCUGUGAUUCUGUGAGUUAGUUCUGUGAUUUUUCCAUUAUACAACUGGCUUUUUGGGAAAGUGAAAAAAAAAACCAAAAAAAAACAAAAAACCAAAACCAAACCACCAGCCAAUAAAAAGCUAACACUAUAACCCUAUAGGAUAACUAGUGUUUCCCAAUUAAGUUUCCAUUAAUGUCAACAAUGCUAUGCUCUUCAAGUUACACAUUGCUGUCUUUGCCUAAUCUGACUAAUGCCAUGUACACACACAACAAUAAACUGGUUUUAAUAAACACACAUCCACAUGUUUUGUCUCCUACAUGAUAAAAUAGCACUGUCAGUUGCUAUGAUAAAAAGUCUUUUUCCUUGUUAUAUUAACUUUUUUCA